rnacentral:rRNA from 1 species
GUGAGGAGAUGGUUGUGGCCAGUAACCUCUUUUAUAGGGAAGAAUUCUGACGGUACCUAUUGAAUAAGCAUCGGCUAACUCCGUGCCAGCAGCCGCGGUAAUACGGAGGAUGCAAGCGUUAUCCGGAAUUAUUCUGUUAAAUACUCAGGCUUAACUUGGGAGUUGCAGUUGAAACUGAUUGACUAGAGUACGGUAGGGGUAGAGGGAAUUCCUAGUGUAGCGGUGAAAUGCGUAGAUAUUAGGAAGAACACCAGUGGCGAAGGCGCUCUACUGGGCCUGUACUGACACUGAGGGACGAAAGCUAGGGGAGCGAAAG